GCCUGUGGCCUAGUGGGCAUGGUUACAGUCUUGGGAACACAGGGUCGUAGGUUCAAGCCCAGCUAGGAACG
rnacentral:tRNA from 1 species